GUCGAACGGCAGCACGGACUUCGGUCUGGUGGCGAGUGGCGAACGGGUGAGUAAUAUAUCGGAACAUACCCAGUAGUGGGGGAUAACUAUCCGAAAGGAUAGCUAAUACCGCAUACGAUCUGUGGAUGAAAGCAGGGGAUCUUCGGACCUUGUGCUAUUGGAAUGGCCGAUAUCUGAUUAGCUAGUUGGUAGGGUAAAAGCCUACCAAGGCGACGAUCAGUAGCUGGUCUGAGAGGACGACCAGCCACACUGGAACUGAGACACGGUCCAGACUCCUACGGGAGGCAGCAGUGGGGAAUUUUGGACAAUGGGGGCAACCCUGAUCCAGCAAUGCCGCGUGAGUGAAGAAGGCCCUCGGGUUGUAAAGCUCUUUUGUCAGGGAAGAAACGGAGUCCUCUAAUAUAGGAUUCUAAUGACGGUACCUGAAGAAUAAGCACCGGCUAACUACGUGCCAGCAGCCGCGGUAAUACGUAGGGUGCAAGCGUUAAUCGGAAUUACUGGGCGUAAAGCGUGCGCAGGCGGUUUUGUAAGUCUGAUGUGAAAUCCCCGGGCUCAACCUGGGAACUGCAUUGGAGACUGCAAGGCUAGAGUGUGUCAGAGGGGGGUAGAAUUCCACGUGUAGCAGUGAAAUGCGUAGAGA
rnacentral:rRNA from 1 species